CUACGUGCCAGCAGCCGCGGUAAUACGGAAGGUCCAGGCGUUAUCCGGAUUUAUUGGGUUUAAAGGGAGUGUAGGCGGUUUGUUAAGCGUGUUGUGAAAUUUAGGUGCUCAACAUUUAACUUGCAGCGCGAACUGUCAGACUUGAGUACACGCAACGUAUGCGGAAUUCAUGGUGUAGCGGUGAGAUGCUUAGAUAUCAUGAAGAACUCCGAUUGCGAAGGCAGCAUACGGGAGUGUAACUGACGCUUAAGCUCGAAGGUGCGGGUAUCGAACAGGAUUAGAUACCCUGGUAGUCCGCACAGUAAACGAUGGAUGCUCGCUGUUGGCCUUUAUGGUCAGUGGCUUAGCGAAAGCGUUAAGCAUCCCACCUGGGGAGUACGCCGGCAACGGUGAAACUCAAAGGAAUUGACGGGGGCCCGCACAAGCGGAGGAACAUGUGGUUUAAUUCGAUGAUACGCGAGGAACCUUACCCGGGCUUGAACUGCAGCUGAACGAUUCAGAGA
rnacentral:rRNA from 1 species